UCAAGCCUAACAACAGUGUACCACACCCAAAGGACUGGACCUCAAUGGACAACCCAAAUGAACUGGACAAACCACUUAUCAGCGAGACAAGUUCUGAUAAGGAGUCUACCGCACUUCUCGAGGAGAAGUGGUACAAGUUUGCCAGUAAGAUAAAGAGGAGUCCCCGUCAUGGGAAUUGAACACUGGCCAGAAAUACACCACCAUCACGUCCACAUUCACGUAGGGGGUUGGUGGUUCAAGAAAACACUACAAGAAACCACCCUUCAACAACCUCCAGUUUACCACCCUGGCACUGUUCAAGUUCACCACUGGCAUGGGAGACCUGGAGUUCACAGAGCAGAUCCAGUACAAAGAGAGACCACGUACUAUCCUGGACCCAGAGAGGUACCUGCCCAUGUGUCUGAAAGAGAAACUGCACUCAGGAGAGGUGCAGAAGACGGGACUGUCGGCCGGAGAUGAAGACCGCAUGGUUUCCUAGGCAGAAUUUAAGGUCAAUGGAGACUUUCAAUGGAGAUUCUCCAUUGAGCAUGAUUUUCUACUCUAGCACUAGACUUAAUCUUUGUCCGGGAAACUGGUCCCUUGAGUACAUUCCUAUAGUAGGAUGAAGGCUAGCCUCUCGAGAAUUUGGCAUCUGGUUAUGUACAGUGCAUUGGGAAAGUAUUCAUACUCCUUGACUGUUUCCACAUUUUAUUAAAAAUUAAAAAAAUAUCACAUUACAUAAUAUUCAGACCUGGGCUCCCAAGUGGCACAACGGUCUAAGGCACUGCAUCUCAGUGCUAGAGGCAUUACUACAGACCCUGGUUCAAUUCCAGGCAGUAUCACAACCGGCAGCGAUUGGGGUCCCAUAGGGCGGUGCACAGUUCAAAGGGGGUGACAAUCUAGACCCAAACUGUUACAGACCUAUAUCCAUCCUGCCCUGCCUUUCUAAAUUAUUUGAAAGCCAAGUUAAACAGAUUACUGACCAUUUCAAAUCUCACCAUACCUUCUCAGCUGUGCAAUCCGGUUUCCGAGCUGGUCACGGGUGCACCUCAGCCAAGCUCAAGGUACUAAACGAUAUCAUAACCGCCAUCGAUAAAAGACAGUACUGUGCCGCCGUCUUCAUCGACCUGGCCAAGGCUUUCGACUCUGUCAAUCACCAUAUUCUUAUCGGCAGACUCAACAGCCUUGGUUUUUCAAAUGACUGCCUCACCUGGUUCACCAACUACUUCUCAGAUAGAGUUCAGUGUGUCAAAUUGGAGGGCCUGUUGUCCGGACCUCUGGCAGUCUCUAUGGGGGUACCACAGGGCUCAAUUCUCAGGACAACUCUUUUCUCUGUAUAUAUCAACAAUGUCGCUCUUGCUGCGGGUGAUUCCCUGAUCCACCUCUAUGCAGACGACACCAUUCUGUAUACAUCUGGUCCUUCUUUACACUGUGUUAACAAACCUCCAAAUGAGCUUCAAUGCAAUACAACACUCCUUCCGUGGCCUCCAACUACUCUUAAACGCUAGUAAAACUAAAUGCAUGCUUUUCAACCGAUCACUGCCCGCACCCGACCGCCCGGCUUGCAUAAAUUGCUAAAUUGUAAUUACUUCGCUACUAUAGCCUAUUUAUUGCCUUACCUCCUCACGCCAUUUGCACACACUGUAUAUAGACUUUUUCUAUUGUGUUAUUGACUGUAUAUUUGUUUAUUCCAUGUGUAACUCUGUUGUUGUUUGUGUCGCACUGCUUUGCUUUAUCUUGGCCAGGUCGCAGUUGUAAAUGAGAACCUGUUCAACUGGCCUACCUGGUUAAAGGUGAAACCUUCGCCACAGUCUGAGGUCCUGAAGCAGGUUUUCAUCAAGGAUCUCUCUGUACUUUGCUCCGUUCAUGUUUGCUUUGAUCCUGACUAGUCUCCCAGUCCAUGCCACUGAAAAACAUCCCCACAGCAUGAUGCUGACCCAAGCUUCACCAUAGGGAUGGUGCCAGGUUUCCUCCAGAUGUGACACUUGGCAUUCAGGCCAAAGAGUUCUAUCUUGAUUUCAUUAGACCAGAGAAUCUUGUUUCUCAUGGUCAGAGUCCUUUAGGUGCAUUUUGGUAAACUCCAAGAGGGCUGUCAGUUGCUUUUACUGAGGAGUGGCUUGCGUCUGGCCACACUACCAUAAAGGCUGACCGCCUUGUCAAAAUGAACAAUCGGGGGAGAAGGGCCGUGGUCAGGGAGGUUACCAAAAACCAAAUGGUCACUUUGACAGAGCUCCAAAGUUCCUCUGUGGAGAUGGAAGAGCCUUCCAGAAGGACAACCAUCUCUGCCGCACUCCAGCAAUCAGGUCUUAAUGGUAGAGUGGCCAGACGGAAGCCACUCCUCAGUAAAAGGCACGACAGUUUGCCAAAAAGGCACUUAAAGACCCUCAGACCAUGAGAAACAAGAUGCUCUUGUCUGAUGAAACCAAGUUUGAACUCAUUGGCCUGAAUGCCUCGCCUCACGUCUGGAGGAAACCUGGCACCAUCCCUAUGGUGAAGCAUGGUGUUGGCAGCAUCAUGCUGUCGGGAUGUUUUUCAGCGGCAGGGCCUGGGAGACUAAUCAGGAUCGAGGGAAAAAUGAACGAAGCAACAGGACAGACCGAGAUCCUUGAUGAAAUCCUGCUCAGGACCUCAGAAUGGGGCGAUGGUUCACAUUUCAACAGGCCAACAUCCCUACGCACACAGCCAAGACAAUGCAGGAGUGGCUUUGGGACAAGUCUCUUAAAGUCCGAGUGGCCCAGCCAGAGCCCGGACUUGAACCCGAUCUAAGACCUGAAAAUAGCUGUGCAGUGAUGCUCCCCAUCCAACUGGACAGAGCUUGAGAGGAUCUGCAGAGAAGAAUGAGAGAAACUCCCUAAAUAUAGGUGUGCCAAGCUUGUAGCAUCAAACCCAAAAAGACUUGAACCUGUAAUCGCUGCCAAAGGUGCUUCAACAAAGCACUGAGUAAAGCAUCUGAAUACUUAUGUAAAUGUGAUAGUUUGUUUUUACUUUGUCAUUAUGGGAUAUUGUGUGUAGAUUGAGGGUGGGGUACAAGUAAUACAUUUUAGAAUAAGGCUGUAACGUAACAAAAUGUGGAAAAAGACAAGGUCUGAGUACUUUCUGAAUGCACUGUACAUGUUUAGAAUGACUCAUUGUUUGUAUAUCCUUUGAGAAUUCAAUACGUAUCAAGCCUUGCUGUUACAAAUAAAAUAAACAGAAUCGG